CGUGUUACUCUGUCCUGUUUGAGUGGCUGUAAUGUACAAGUCGCAUCAACACAGUCACAGGAAAACAAGGUAACGGCGAGUUGUCAAGAUACCACCAAUCACAACGGAAAGAGCAUAUGCUUCGGAUAAAAACUCACCUUGUAACGGAGCAGGGGCCCCACAGCCGGCAGCGGAGCAGACCGGCGGCGGAACACGGUGAGUCAACUCCUGAGCUUCAUCCCUCAUCACAUCACCAAGGCCGUCCUCACAACACACACGGCCGAGUCUGCAGGUGAGUCAACUCCCAGCCAGACUCCCAGUGAUGAGGAGAGCCAGCUAUUCUCUCAGUUUAUCCCUGAGACCACCAAUGAGGAAAUGCUUGAGCAGUAUGGAUCUUGGAUCAGAAAACCCAAAAUCUUCCAGAGGGCUUUUCUCAAC